CCUUGCCGCCGCCACCCCUCCCCUCUGCCCCGUGCCGGAUCCGCCUGCCGCCGCCGCCACCGCUCUCCUCUGCCCCGUGCGGGAUCCUACCUCCUGGCCUCCUCCUCCUCCCGCUACCCUCAUCCCCUCUGCCGCCGCCGGGCCCUCUCCUCUCCCCGUCGGUGCGAGUGCGUGGGUCGCGGCGUGCGGAGAGCGAGGAGAGGGAGAGGACAGACGCGUGAGGAGGAGGAGGCCACGGCCGUCGGCUCCUCUCCUCUCCUCGUCGUCUCCUCCCCUCUCCCCGUCGGCCCAGCGCGCUGGUCGUGUGGCGUGAGGUGAGCGAGGAGAGGGAGGGGGAAGAUGCGUGAGGAGGAGGAGGACCAGGCGGUGGCGUGCUGCUGGAGUGGAGGAGUGGUCGUCCGCUGCACGUCGUUGUCGUCCUCAUACCCAAUCUGGCAGCGGCAGCUGCAGGCCAGUGCGUUAGCUAAAGGAGCAUGAGUGAAGAAGUCCUCCUUCAGAAUCUUGCCGAGAUGCUCCUCUCUCUUUGGGAUUUUGUUCCAAUGACACGUUGCUGACUAUUUGAGUUUUUUGCUCAAUCAGGCCUGUAGUGUCCGCCAUCAUGUAAUUUUAGGACCAAAUUCAGAGAAAACAGUCGCCUCUAUGGAAUUGUUGAAGAACCUGUCAAUCCAACGGAUUCAGUUGCACAAUAUUCGAUUUGAUGGUUGACAAUAUGCAGAGCAUCUUGGGAGCCUCCAUCAUGUUCUGGAUAAAGCAGCUGACGAAAUAGUAUGCUGAUCCCGUCCCUUGUUGACGAUGAAUUUGCCUUGAGCACUGCGGUUUUGUCAAUUUGGUAGAGCUUGCUGUCCUCUAGGUUUUAUGUACAGAGUUCUUAGAAAUGAAGCAGCUGCAGAAAAGGGACAUCCUGAGGAGAGGUACACCAACGCCUUCCUUGGGCACGGACCAGAGGACUCACAUUUUGUGUAGAGCUCACUUACUCAGAAGUGACGAUAUUGGAUCUGGUUUUGGUCAUUUCGGAAUUGCUGUUGAGGAUGGGCGACAUAGCUAAAAUUUGACGUGAGAAGUGCAGCCACAACAAUGGGCAGCCGAAUAAAAAAUAUAGGGAGACACAAGGAGAAUAUAACUGGUCAUACUUCAACAAUGACCACACUACUUAUGAUGGUUCAAGAGAAGAUAUCCGUGAUACUGAGCCUGGUGAUGAGGGCAUCAAGACAAAGAGAUUAAUUCACAACUCUGUUGUUGAUAGGUUGUACAAAUUUACAAGGCACCACGAUAUGUAACUUAUGUUUGUUGCUUCGGAGAGUACUGCCAUGCUGUCAUGGUCUUCAAAAUGUGGAAGGUGACUUUUGCUUGAUCUAGAGUGGACGUUGAGCCUUGCCUUGUGGUGGCAGUAGACAAGGAAGUCGCCCAUUGAUUGAUCUUGAGAUGGCCAUGUCCCUGCAUUGCGGACGCUGAAGACAGUGUGUGUGGUAUGAGCCCUGUCUCCUCCAACUUAUAUUUUGGAAGCAAGUCUUCAUCACUAUCCGCGCCAAAUUUUCUUCCCAUCCAGGCCUACAAUGUGUUCCUCCUAUUCCAUGGUUGUACCAUUUUUGCUGUGCUUUGUCUGAGUGUUUGGCAUCCUCUCUUUGCCUCAGAUAAGAGAUGCACUAGCUGCGAGGAGAUAUGAAAGGGCCAGUUCCGAAUCUUCAUGGAACUACUGAAUUUGAACGCAUACUUUGGCCUCUUUCUGGUCCAACGUGUUUGCAUCAACAUUUGAAUCAUUUUUUAUAAAUGUCUUGAGAAUAUGGUGAUUACGAUUGUCUGAUGUUCAAUUCUAUUUUUAGCAAAUUAUUCAGGAAGCCACGAUCCUUAGUUGCGGCUGAUGAGUGAAGGAAUUAUGUAGUACUGGUGGCACGCAGUUCACACUCCAACCCAAUUCGAGUUCAUCUCCCAUCAGCCCUGCUGCACACCGCCGGCAAAUAACCCUGCGACGCUAAAUCCCUUUGUUCCAUGGUCUAAUGAAUUUAACAGAAAGCCUCAAAUAGACCGACUUGAUCCGUAAUGUUUCAUCAAGAAAAAUGUUUUUUUUCGCGUCUCUCGUUCUGCACUACUCUUUACCAAAUUAUAUAUUGUAGGGAGCCUAGGAGAAUCAGCUAGGGUAUGCAUCACCUAAAGUGGCACCCUGCAGCAAGCUUGCGUUCACUACAUACAGUUCACAUCGAUUGUUUAUAGGAGCUUUAUAGAAGUUCUUCGAUUGACCCCUAUGUUUGCCAACGGAGUUAGUUGAUGAUUCCUACAUGGAGAGGAUUCCGAUGUUGUAUAUUGUUUCUUACAAACUAAUAAACGGUAACUCAGAUUAAUAAUUCUCUCUCCGUAUCUAAUAAUUUUCUCUUUGAAUAUUAAUUAAAGGAAUGGCUGUUGGCAUUUAAGUUUUACGAGCUUGUCAAUUUCUUCAAAUCAUUCUAAUAGAGUGUGUAAUAUUUCCUUGGCAUAUCUGUAGUAAGGUGUCGCCUACUUGGAGAUAUAGAGGUUUUUAGGACACCACACACAUUUAUGGUAUGUUGAAAAGGGAAGCAAAUCUAUGUUUUAAUGUUUAACAUUCAUAUGAAGUUUUUCUGCAAAUGUGACCAUGGAAUCCAUAUUUCUAGGUUCGCUUUUAAUAAUAUGCAUGAUCUUUCAUUUGCAGUUCCAGAGACCUGCUACUUAUUCAUAAUUUCAUACUCCCUUCGAUCCGUAAUAAGAGUUGCGGGUUUAAAAUAAGUUGAACUAACCUCAGUUCAAAACUACGAUGCUUAUUAUGGAUCAGAGGGAGUAAUAUACUUUCAGCUGCAUAUCAGAAUGCCAUUUCAUCUAUUUUCAUUUAAAGCAGUGAGUAGUGUACAUUGUUAAUGGUAUAAAUAUUGUCAGUGACCAAAUUAAUAGAUUUAUGCAUUCGAUUGUAUGCACCAGAAUUUUUAGAGUACAUGCUUGGCACUACAUCUACUACUCCAAGAUUAUGUGGUGCUGCCUUGCUGACCCAAAUCUCCAGGGUCUCUUUAAGGAGAAGCCAGAUGGAACAAAACAUGAUAAUGGCCAUUUGCCUUUCUCUGGGUAAUACCGAAGUGACUGCUCGGCUACCAACCAACGUCUCACCUUUUGUUUCAUUGUGUAUGCUGUCAACUGGCACUGAAGAAAAUAGUGAUUUGCUGCUGACUGACAUAGUGAAAAAAAAGAAGAGGUGUGAGUCUUUUGGUGGUGCCUUUUGGAGAUAAUAGUUAUGUAACAGAGAUAAUAGACAAAAAACAAAGAGGUAUUAUCGGGUACUCAACUAUGAUAUGGAAGGCAUUUCUGCUUUUGUCAAUGGCAACCCACCGAACACACCCAUCAGGAAGAGUUGCUUACAUGUUGAGGUCAUUUUUCAUACCAAAGGCACAUGUAGCGAUGACUACCUGAUGUAAAUGACUGCAUAACUUAGUUAACAUAAGCUGAAUGACCAGAGCUAUCUAUAUGAUGCAUUUCUGCCUAUGUAGCUUUGCUUAUCAUGAACUGAUCUUGUGCCUUUCUUUUGGCCUAUAAACCGACCAUGCAUUGUAAUAUAUAAUAUUAUGUAUGAACAGUGACUCUGUAUGAACAUCAUACCUAGAUAUUUAUUUUCUUAUGCUUCAA